rnacentral:rRNA from 1 species
AAUGAACGCUGGCGGCAGGCCUAACACAUGCAAGUCGAGCGAGCGGCGGACGGGUGAGUAAUGUCUGGGGAUCUGCCCGAUGGAGGGGGCUAAAUACUGGCAACGGUAGCUAAUACCGCAUAAUAUCGGAUGCACCCAGAUGGGAUUAGCUAGUCGGUGGGGUAACGGAGCACCUAGGCGACGAUCCCUAGCUGGUCUGAGAGGAUGAUCAGCCACACUGGAACUGAGACACGGUCCAGACUCCUACGGGAGGCAGCAGUGGGGAAUAUUGCACAAUGGGCGCAAGCCUGAUGCAGCCAUGCCGCGUGUAUGAAGAAGGCCUUAGGGUUGUAAAGUACUUUCAGCGGGGAGGCGUUACUCGCAGAAGAAGCACCGGCUAACUCCGUGCCAGCAGCCGCGGUAAUUC